GUCCUUCCCAUGAAAUCAUCCCGUUUUGCUGAUCUCUCUGCCUUGACCUAGUCAAGAAAGACUACAAAAUCAUCUGCCACGAACGCUUUUAUUUAGCGUGGUGUUUUUAUUCGAGAGUUGUUUUAUUUAUGAUUAUGUUUAGAUAGAAUCCCUGCCUUCAAGCCGGAAGGUAGACUCAACUGUGUUGGUGGCCUUUUCAAACUCUGUAAUUCUCUGAUCCCAGCCGAGCUAUCUUCUUGAAGUGCGCAAGUGAAUUAUGUAACGGACAGACUCACAAUGUGAGCCCAACUGUGAGGCACGGUACAUGGAAUUGGCAGCCAGGGGUGAGAUUCUACCUGGUCACACCGGUUCUAUAGAACCGGUUGUUAUGAUUCUGCUCAGUUUGGAGAACCGGCAAAUCGUGCCACUGGCUGGCCCCUCCCACUCACUCCUUACCUGGCAUGCGCGCCAUCCAACUUGCCUGCGUUGUGCCUUCGCCUAAUUUUUGGUAAGUUGCUAUUUUUCCUUUUUUGUCCCCCGACCAUCAGCUGUUCCGACUAUCAGCUGUGCUGGGAGAUUUAGAUUGGCUAGAAAGCAGGUCAUCAUUUGAUUUCUUGCUUUCUAGAUAAUCUGAAAGCAGAGCUGAACCUUCCUAGCGUCUAUUUUUCGGUGCAGACUCAGGCAGCAGAUAGCAGAAUGGUAGUGAAUCUGUGAUUCUGUGAGCAACUCAAUCUGCCUGCCUGCUUUGCCUGAUUUUGG
rnacentral:lncRNA from 1 species